GACAGAGGGUGCAAACGUUGUUCGGAAUUACUGGGCGUAAAGCGCGUGUAGGCUGCUUCGCAAGUCGGAUGUGAAAGCCCUGGGCUCAACCCAGGAAGUGCAUUCGAAACUGCAGAGCUGGAGUCCUGGAGAGGAAGGCGGAAUUCUCGGUGUAGAGGUGAAAUUCGUAGAUAUCGAGAGGAACACCGGUGGCGAAGGCGGCCUGCUGGGCAGUAGCUGACACUGAGGCGCGACAGCGUGGGGGAGCAAACAGG
rnacentral:rRNA from 1 species